rnacentral:rRNA from 1 species
GUGGGGAAUAUUGGACAAUGGGCGCAAGCCUGAUCCAGCAAUGCCGCGUGGGUGAAGAAGGCCUUCGGGUUGUAAACUGCUUUUGUACGGAACGAAAAGACUCCUUCUAAUAAAGGGGGUCCAUGACGGUACCGUAAGAAUAAGCACCGGCUAACUACGUGCCAGCAGCCGCGGUAAUACGUAGGGUGCAAGCGUUAAUCGGAAUUACUGGGCGUAAAGCGUGCACAGGCGGUUAUAUAAGACAGAUGUGAAAUCCCCGGGCUCAACCUGGGAACUGCAUUUGUGACUGUAUAGCUAGAGUACGGUAGAGGGGGAUGGAAUUCCGCGUGUAGCAGUGAAAUGCGUAGAUAUGCGGAGGAACACCGAUGGCGAAGGCAAUCCCCUGGACCUGUACUGACGCUCAUGCACGAAAGCGUGGGGAGCAAACAGGAUUAGAAACCCCGGUAGUCC